UACGGGAGACUGCAAGCGUUACUCGGAUUUACUGGGCGUAAAGGGUCCGCAGGUGGCCAAGUGUGUCAGGUGUGAAAUCCAACGGCUUAACCGUUGAACUGCGCCUGAAACUAUUUGGCUAGAGGCUUGGAGAGGGCAGUUGGAAUUCCCAGUGUAGCGGUGAAAUGCGUAGAUAUUGGGAGGAACACCAACGGCGAAGGCCAGCUGCCUGGACAAGUUCUGACACUCAGGGACGAAAGGUGUGGGGAAGCGAAAGGGG
rnacentral:rRNA from 1 species